GAUGAACGCUGGCGGCGUGCCUAAUACAUGCAAGUCGAGCGAACGGACGAGAAGCUUGCUUCUCUGAUGUUAGCGGCGGACGGGUGAGUAACACGUGGAUAACCUACCUAUAAGACUGGGAUAACUUCGGGGAAACCGGAGCUAAAACCGGAGAAUAUUUUAAACGGAAUGGUCAAAAAGUGAAGGACGGUCUUGCUGUACCUUAAGGAUGGAUCCGCGCUGCAUUAGCUAGUUGGUAAGGUAACGGCUUACCAAGGCAACGAUGCAUAGCCGACCUGAGAGGGUGAUCGGCCACACUGGAACUGAGACACGGUCCAGACUCCUACGGGAGGCAGCAGUAGGGAAUCUUCCGCAAUGGGCGAAAGCCUGACGGAGCAACGCCGCGUGAGUGAUGAAGGUCUUCGGAUCGUAAAACUCUGUUAUUAGGGAAGAACAUAUGUGUAAGUAACUGUGCACAUCUUGACGGUACCUAAUCAGAAAGCCACGGCUAACUACGUG
rnacentral:rRNA from 1 species